rnacentral:rRNA from 1 species
UACGUAGGGACCGAGCGUUGUCCGGAAUCAUUGGGCGUAAAGAGCGUGUAGGCGGCCACUUAAGUCCUGCGUGAAAUCUUGCGGCUCAACCGCAAGCGGUCGUGGGAAACUGGGUGGCUAGAGUGCGGGAGAGGAGAGUGGAAUUCCUGGUGUAGCGGUGAAAUGCGCAGAUAUCAGGAGGAACACCGAUGGCGAAGGCAGCUCGCUGGGACGGUACUGACGCUGAGACGCGAAAGCGUGGGGAGCAAACAGG